UGGUCUUAAAAUAUUCAAUUGCGGGUUUUUCCGCGUUAUCUCGUGGUUGACCUGUUGUCACAUAUAAGUUUAUUCCUGGAAGCUUAUAUCAAUUUGGCUAUAUAAGCACAAGAUUUCAUUGCAUAUGAAUCAGUAUAAUUGUUGAGGUUUGCACUACAGCUAUUCGAAAAUGAAGUGGCUGUCAAUUGUAUUUGUGUUGGGUCUGUUGGCUUUUGCCAGUGCCAAUCCCAUAUGGGGCUGGACGAAAAUCAUAAACGCUGGGUGUACUAACUGCAGUGUUCAUACAGGGCGAAGGCUGAAGAACUAAACUGAAGAAUGCCAAACAGCAUACAAACUACACAUUAUUUAGAUUCCGUAAUAAAAAUGGAAACUUAUCAGAUGAGAUUCUAGAAGUAAUGAUUGCAGCCAAAUCGCAUUUGUCUUAAACACAGUAAAUAUAAUAAAUACACAUUUAAUACAUU
rnacentral:sRNA from 1 species